rnacentral:rRNA from 1 species
UACGUAGGGUGCGAGCGUUAAUCGGAAUUACUGGGCGUAAAGCGUGCGCAGGCGGUUUGUUAAGCCAGAUGUGAAAGCCCCGGGCUCAACCUGGGAACUGCGUUUGGUACUGGCAAGCUAGAGUACGGCAGAGGGGGGUGGAAUUCCACGUGUAGCAGUGAAAUGCGUAGAGAUGUGGAGGAACACCGAUGGCGAAGGCAGCCCCCUGGGUCAAGACUGACGCUCAUGCACGAAAGCGUGGGGAGCAAACAGG